rnacentral:rRNA from 1 species
UAGGGAAUAUUGGUAAUGUGCGAAAGCGCGAACCAGCAACGCCGCGUGCGCGAUGAAGGCCUUCGGGUUGUAAAGCGCUUUUAGAAAGGAUAAGGAAGGACAGUACUCUCUGAAUAAGCCUCGGCUAACUACGUGCCAGCAGCCGCGGUAAAACGUAGGAGGCUAGCGUUAUCCGGAUUUAUUGGGCGUAAAGCGCGUGCAGGCGGUCUAGUUAGUUGGAUGUGAAAGCUCCUGGCUUAACUGGGAGAGGUCGUUCAAUACUGCUAGACUAGAGAAUGGGAGAGGGAGGUGGAAUUCCGGGUGUAGUGGUGAAAUGCGUAGAUAUCCGGAGGAACACCAGUGGCGAAAGCGGCCUCCUAGACCACUUCUGACGCUAAGACGCGAAAGCUAGGGUAGCAAACG